AGGCACUGUGGGGCACUCAUUACCUCAUUAACCCGCACAGCCUCACAAGGCAGGGACCGUAAUUAUUCCUGUUGCACAGAUAGGGGGAACCAGCUCUGAGAGGUGAGGCGGCCUGCCCAGGGUUGCAGUCAGUGCUGACAGAUCUGGGCUGGAGACCAGAAUCAUUGGUAAUGAGAAGAUCCCGGAGGGUGGGAAGGGGAAGAAACCGGCAGAAGGCAGCUGGCAGUUACUGCCAGGAGGCCCCUGUCCCUGUGCGUGGCAUCGCCGUCGCCCCGCCCCUGGGGUCCCUCAGCCUAGGGCCGCCAGGAGGAUGAGGCCUAGAAGAAAGCCGGACCCACCCCGGCCUUACCUUAUUGGCCCACUCGACCCGUUCCACAUCUGGGAAGUGGAUCUAGGGAACAGAAACCCCAAAGGUAAGUUAGACCGAACACCUGCCCAUCCCUGAAAACCCAGAAGCGCAGCAGCCCGGCAAGUUCCCGCUCCCACCCCACACACACCUCUGCUCUUCCUCCCCGCCCAGCACCCACUUGGCCAGAGACUCAGCCAGCCCUGCCCCGGAGCGCAUCGUCUGGUGCGGCAGGCAACCAGACCGUACCAAUGCACGGCCAACACUGACACUACUGGGCUCGGAAGCCCUGCACGCGGGUGUGCGAUUCUGUGGAGACUGCUUCUCUCUCCCGCAGCCCCCUCCCCCUCCCAACUGCGCCCUGCAGCCCACAGGCUGGAAGAGCGGGGCUGGAACCCCUUCGCUUGCUUAUGCAAAUAAGACCUUCCUUCCUGGUGGAUACAUACAAUCCCCACCCGGGCUGGCCCAGGGUACCACCCGACUUCGUUCCUUGCCUUUCCCUCCUCCUUAUUCCUUUUAAUGCCACAAGUAAUCAUGGACUCUGGAGAAAAACUAGAAAAUACAGCUAAGCAAAAGGAAAAAUAUUUUAUCACAGAAUGCCAAGGGACAACCACCGUUAACAGGUUCAGCCUAUUGUGGAAACAAGGCUAUGUAGUUCCCACAGAAAUUGAAGUCACCGUGUGUUUUGGUAGUCUGCUUUCUUCCACCUAGUGUAUGUAGGAUUGUAUUGAUUCCUAAGGUAACAACUGCCCGUUUGAAAGCCAUUUUCAUAGGCAACUGGAGAAUGGAAGUGCCCCCCUCGGCUCCCAGGAGCCCCUCCCCAGCAGGCCAGAUCUGUGGUCACAUAGGGGAGCUUCCUUCAGGUCACAGCCCCUAGCCACUGUGCCUGCCAGGUGAGUCCUGCCACUUCCUUGGGUCAGGGAGGGAGCUUGGGGGGGGGGGGCAGGUGAAGCAACAAUCCUACUGGCUAACCUUUGCAUCACCUGAGGGUGCUUAAGCCCUUCCUUGCAAGAGUCUCAGUCUCUGCCAGUGUCUGAGCUUCUCAUAGACCCCCACCCCAACCCCCAAGGUUCUCAGGGACAAAGGGGUAAGACUGUAGUGGUACCUGGCACAAAAUAGGGAUCAGUAAAUGGUAGCAGUGGCUACCAUCACUGUCACCAAGUCCUCUGAGCACAAGGCCAACUCAGGAUCAGAUUCAUGGUGGGCAUUGGAACUCCCAAGGUCAGGAAAGGAGAUGUGUCCAUGCAGUUCACACUCCUAGUGCACACCAGGCCCUGGGCUGGCUCUGGGGAUGCCCUGAAGGCCUAAAUGUAGACCCUGGCCUAGACCACUUGCCCAAGAGGAGAGCUAUUCCCAAAGGAGUGAUAAGCAAUUCAGUCCUCUUAAGGAGUUUUUAACAACCUUGAGAAGUCAAAGAAGCCCAGCGCUUCUGAGUCUCCUGGAACAUUGAGCCAUUCUCCCAGCCCCAGUUCCCCCAGCCCUGGGCAGUGAUCCAUAUAAACUUGGGACAAGCAUCUAAUAGUCUCAGGUGCUAAAGGAAAAUCACUGCCUGGUUCCCAGGGGGAGGGCAGGGGGAGGCUGACUCAGUCCACAGGAACAGAAGGGAAUGGUGGGAAAGGAAUCUUGAGGGAAGUAGGCAGGAAUUAUUAGGGUCAGCCCAUCCAUUUCAGCUGGGGAGAAGCAGCCUACUCACCACCCAUUCCCUGCUGCUGCCCUGGGUCAGGUCCUAAGCUGGUAGCAGGCAAAUGGAGGGUGAGACCCUUUCAUUGCUCCCUAUCACACUGCCCACUAAAGCACACUAAAGAAAAAGCUCCUGCACGUGGGGCUGAACAGACAUCCCCACUGCUCUUUGGUUGCUCCACUCAUUACUAUCUUUGACUUUAUUUCUUCCAGGCAGCCUUUCCUGAUCUCUCAAGUCAGAGACAGGUGUCCCUAUUAUGUGUCUGCUGGUUCUCCUUUGAGACACUUAACACACCUUAAUAGACCUGCUUGUCUGCCUGCCUCCUUACUAGACUGGAAGCUCUCGUGGGCCGACUCGGCCAUGUUCCCUAUUAGUGCCUGUCCCUGACACAUGAAUAUCUUAAUAAAUAUUUGUGGAAUGAA